rnacentral:rRNA from 1 species
UACGAAGGGGGCUAGCGUUGCUCGGAAUCACUGGGCGUAAAGCGCACGUAGGCGGCUUUCUAAGUCAGGGGUGAAAUCCUGGAGCUCAACUCCAGAACUGCCUUUGAUACUGGAGAGCUUGAGUCCGGGAGAGGUGAGUGGAACUCCGAGUGUAGAGGUGAAAUUCGUAGAGAUCCGGAAGAACACCGGUGGCGAAGGCGGCCCGCUGGGCAGUUGCUGACACUGAGGCGCGACAGCGUGGGGAGCAAACAGG